rfam:Gorilla gorilla gorilla genomic chromosome, chr2B, whole genome shotgun sequence
GGUAAAAUGACUGAGUAAACAUUAGACUGUAAAUCUAAAUACAGAGGCCAAGGCCUCUUUUUACCA